GCUGGGCAUGGUGGCGUACACCUGUAAUCCUAGCAACUGGGGAGGCUGAAGCAGGAGGAUCUCAAGUUCAAAGCCAGCCUUAGCAAAUGCAAGGCGCUAAGCAACUCAGUGAGACCCUGUCUCUA
rnacentral:sRNA from 1 species